GAGCAGGAUCUAGGUACAAUGUAGCAGUGAAGUGCUGCCUUGUUUUUACUCCUUGCUCAAAAGAAAACUGUGACCUUCCGAGCCCUGCUUGCUUCGGUUACCCAGGCAGCAGGGAUGCUUGGUCUCAUACAG
rnacentral:snoRNA from 1 species